GGCCCGUUUGGCACGGCUUUUAUUUUGGCUUUUGCUUCUUGUAGAAGAGCUUUUGGAGAAAGCUAUUUUAAUUUUUGUUUGAAAAUUAAUAUUUAAAAUAACUUCCCAUUCCGAAAGUGCUUUUGGAGGAAGCAAAAAAAACCAGCUUCCUCUAAAAGCUCUUCUAACCUCCAAAAGCACUUUAAACAAAAAUAGCCAAACGGUCCAAAAGCGGCUUUUGGCUCUCAAAAGCUCCUUUUGGCUUUUCAAAAG
rnacentral:lncRNA from 1 species